rnacentral:rRNA from 1 species
GAUGAACGCUGGCGGCGUGCCUAAUACAUGCAAGUCGAGCGAACAGACGAGGAGCUUGCUCCUCUGACGUUAGCGGCGGACGGGUGAGUAACACGUGGAUAACCUACCUAUAAGACUGGGAUAACUUCGGGAAACCGGAGCUAAUACCGGAUAAUAUAUUGAACCGCAUGGUUCAAUAGCGAAAGACGGUUUUGCUGUCACUUAUAGAUGGAUCCGCGCCGCAUUAGCUAGUUGGUAAGGUAACGGCUUACCAAGGCAACGAUGCGUAGCCGACCUGAGAGGGUGAUCGGCCACACUGGAACUGAGACACGGUCCAGACUCCUACGGGAGGCAGCAGUAGGGAAUCUUCCGCAAUGGGCGAAAGCCUGACGGAGCAACGCCGCGUGAGUGACGAAGGUCUUCGGAUCGUAAAACUCUGUUAUUAGGGAAGAACAAAUGUGUAAGUAACUAUGCACGUCUUGACGGUACCUAAUCAGAAAGCCACGGCUAACUACGUG